rnacentral:sRNA from 1 species
AAGUGACUCGUCCGAAGCGUCAGCAUGCGGGGUUUGAGCUGGCCGCGCUGGAUAUUGGAGUCGCCCCCGAGUGUCCUCCCGGGCCUGCCCCAAGUCU